CCUACGGGUGGCAGCAGUGGGGAAUAUUGGACAAUGGGGGGAACCCUGAUCCAGCAAUGCCGCGUGUGUGAAGAAGGCCCUCGGGUUGUAAAGCACUUUCAGUGAGGAAGAACGCCUGGUGGUUAAUACCCAUCAGGAAAGACAUCACUCACAGAAGAAGCACCGGCUAACUCCGUGCCAGCAGCCGCGGUAAUACGGAGGGUGCGAGCGUUAAUCGGAAUUACUGGGCGUAAAGCGCGCGUAGGUGGCUUGAUAAGCCGGUUGUGAAAGCCCCGGGCUCAACCUGGGAACGGCAUCCGGAACUGUCAAGCUAGAGUGCAGGAGAGGAAGGUAGAAUUCCCGGUGUAGCGGUGAAAUGCGUAGAGAUCGGGAGGAAUACCAGUGGCGAAGGCGGCCUUCUGGACUGACACUGACACUGAGGUGCGAAAGCGUGGGUAGCAAACAGGAUUAGAUACCCGUGUAGUC
rnacentral:rRNA from 1 species